CCUUCGGAGUGUCAAACAAACGAGAGUAGCUUCGGCAAAAUCGGACACGAUGAACAAGGAA
ncrna:Anoxybacillus ayderensis RAGATH-18 RNA